rnacentral:lncRNA from 1 species
AACCGUCAGAUAUCCCCGCCGCGCAACUCGGUAGACUACCCAACGGACCAGCGGCGAUGGCGAGGUACGAGCAAACGAGGUCGCAGAGCGUGAACCCCCUCUCGAGAUACCCCAAACCCAAGGACAGCAAUCUAACGAACCCUCAGAGGCAAGGCCGAUGGAACCCGCCUCCCUCGGAGCAGACCCAGCGGGCACGCCAUAUUCGAGCAAACACUACCUUUGAGACUGCACCGUGCAACCCAUACAUGGACACGCGCCCCACGG